rnacentral:rRNA from 1 species
GACCUCAGAUCAGGUAGGACUACCGCCUGAACUUAAGCAUAUCAAUAAGGCGAGGAACAGAAACCAACAGGGAUUCCCCUAGUAGUGGCGAAUGAACCGGGAAAAGCUCAAGUUUGAAAUCUGAUAUCAAUCAGAGUUGUAAGCUGAAGAGGUAUCGACCGAUGAUGGUCCAGGCUCAAUGAUCCUUGGAAUAGGCAUGUCGUAGAGGGUGAAAAUCCCGUCUGUGGCUUGAGUGCCGUCAUCUUUGUGUCGUAUCCUCGAAGAGUCGGGUUGUUUGGGAAUGCAGCUCAAAAUGGGUGGUAAAUUUCAUCUAAGGCUAAAUAUUGGCGAGAAACCGAUAGCAAACAAGUAGAGUGAUCGAAAGAUGAUAAGUAUCUUGAAAAGGAAGUGAAACAGUACGUGAAAUUGUUGAAAGGGAAGCGUUUGGCAUCAG